GUCGGUGACGAUCGUGCUGGGGACCUACCCGAUCCCAUUCCGAACACGGAAGUUAAGACCGCCAGGGCCGAUGAUACUGCGACUGUGAGGUCGUGGGAAAGCAGGACGCUGCCGGAU
rnacentral:rRNA from 1 species